UACGGGGGGAGCAAGCGUUGUUCGGAUUUACUGGGCGUAAAGGGCGCGUAGGCGGUCAGCACAAGUCAGUUGUGAAAUCUCCGGGCUUAACUCGGAAAGGUCAACUGAUACUGUGCGACUAGAGUGCGGAAGGGGCAACUGGGAUUCUCGGUGUAGCGGUGAAAUGCGUAGAUAUCGGGAGGAACACCAGUAGCGAAGGCGGCUCCCUGGGCCAUUCCUGACGCUGAGACGCGAAAGCGUGGGGAGCAAACAGG
rnacentral:rRNA from 1 species